rnacentral:rRNA from 1 species
UCUUCCGCAAUGGACGAAAGUCUGACGGAGCAACGCCGCGUGAGUGAUGAAGGUUUUCGGAUCGUAAAACUCUGUUGUUAGGGAAGAACAAGUACCGUUCGAACAGGGCGGUACCUUGACGGUACCUAACCAGAAAGCCACGGCUAACUACGUG